GUAAGCAUUAAAAUUUCAAAUUGGAGCCUCAACUAUAUCAAUUCUGGAACCCAACAAUCACAACAAGAUGAUAUUUUAAGCUCCUUAUGUAGCCGAAUCUGUGCUGGUUUGAAUGGGCCGCCUCCAGUUUUCGCUUUGUUUUGCCUCCAGCUAGCACUGUGAUGUAAUUGUGACGUAGGCCCUAAAAGAGUCUAUAUUCAGUGUUCAAUUGCAUUCUUAAUUCAGCUGACUCAAGAGUCCAGUAUGUUAAGUGUGCAAGUUGGUGCACAAGACUUUAAACAGUUGUCUAGAAGAUUCUGCUGGUUCCCAAAAACACCAAACCAUGUUGAUCACUGCUAGUCUGGUGAUGUUAUGGUGGAUCUCCACCAGGGUGAAAAACAAUUCACCCGAAACAAUGAAAGAGGACACCGAACAAGAACUAAUCAUCAGCAAGCCACAACUGGAGGGGAGUUUCUGAAAAUAUCAAGGAUCUGAAACUGCCUCUACCUCUCACACUCAGAAUGUCUCUGAGACUACAACUCCCUGAAAACCUGAGCCCCUUUUAAUAUACAACAUCUGUCCUAUUCUUUAUUAUAUGGUGAAAUAAAAAUACCUUUUUACUUGUAGAUUUCACUCCUAUUUUCUGAACUGUACUUUAUGGAAGAUAAUUCAUGCCACAGUGAAGUGCACGGUAGGAGCAAUGCAAAAUGCAAUACACCAGCAUUGCAUUUCAUGUCUGAAAUCAUUCCAAAGCCAAAAGCGAUGCUGUCUUAUUUCACUUAUUUGCUUUUGAAAAACAGUUCAUGGAUUUGCUUUUUUAGAAAUCAUUUGCAACAAAAGGAAAUGUCAUGAACUCAAAUACAUUGUAUUUCAACUGUUUUGACGCUUACACCUCGCAAGUUAGGCACAUUGUUGACUAUCCUAUUAACUACAUGGUAUUCAGUGAUGUUAUCAAUAUUUAACUUGUUCAGUGCAGUAUUAACUAGUGUUGAGGUGUAUACCAAUGUAUUUGACUCACAUAUAUGAUCCGUAAAUUCAAAUGAAGGUUCCCUUAAUUCAAAUGACACAUACUGAGAGCAGAGAGCACACAAUAGUCUACUUUUAGCUCAAGGGUGUGUUACACUGCACUUUCCUUUCUACUGACCUGCAUUCACUCGCCAGACUUUAAAUAAGCAGGAUUGUAGCAUUGCAGUAAAUGGCGUACACUGAGAAAAAAAAAAAAAAAAGAAGUGAUGUAAAUACUAAAGAAAAACAAUUGUAAUUUCUACAUUAAAUAAUUUAAUUCAGGUAAGAAUAAUAAUAAAAAAAAAUUAGUACAUUCAAUAUUAGUACUCAAUUUAAGCUUGUAGAAUUUAAAGUUUAAACUUAAGUAUAUUGUACUUGGAAUUGUUUGUUAUUUUUACACAGAUUGUUUAAGUAAAUAUCAAAGUCAUGAUCCCGUUGUUCCCAUCAUGCACUUGGGCAUGAAUAAUAAGGUACAUUUUUUGCUGUUUACGAGAUGUAUUUACAGUUCUAUGGUUGCUUUUCUUGUUAGGUUAAGUAACUUGCUGUUUUGUGACAUCUGGAGUUAAUCGUUUACUCAAAAUGACCCAUUUGUGCUCAAACACUAUUCACUGAUUGUCACCGUCAUUGUGUAUCAUGUGCCAAGUAUUCAGGUCUCUGUGUUCAUUCAGUUAAUAAUUAUAUUGAGUCAACAUAUUACCUUAAAAAGAAUAACGAGCUGUCUACUUGCUUACAUGCGUGAUUUCACUCAGUCAUGGUUUGUAAACUUUACUCAAAAAACAUAGCGCUGAAAAAAGCCAAUAAAGCAUGUGGUUCACUUGUAAUGUACUUGAGUAAUUUCUACUGAAUUCUUUUAAGUUUACCCUACAAUACUCAUCACACUCUAACUGGCCACGUUAAAUUUACUUAUUUCCUUUGCUAAUUUUGCAUACACGCACAAAAAAGAUGAAGUCAAAUAAUAUUUUAAUAAAUCCACACAAAGGGUAUAACCGCAGGCAGGUGACGCACAAGUCAUACAAUACUGGACAAGUGCAAACAGAACAGACUUGAACUUAAAUACACUGGCAAAUGAAGAUAAUUAAUAAGACACAGGUGAAUCAAAUUACGAAAUCAAAAGGGAGACAGAAACUAGGUCACACAGGGAAGACUUAUGGCAAUCUCACAUUACAUGAUUGAAAGACUAGCUGAAUAAGUGACUACAUUUACAUGGACAUUGGUAAUCUAAUUAUUUACCUUAUUCUGAAUAAGACAAUAUUAUGAUUAAGGUGUUUACAUGAGUUGCUUUUAGAAUAAUCCUUUCAUGUUCCCGCUUUACAUGUUCUAGUGCAUAGAUCGAUUAAUGGCACACGUCAUUACGUCCCCACGCGAUGCCAUCUGACGUCUCCUCCAGAAUUUCACGUAUAAACACAUAGUUCGUCUUUGUUAUGAUGCCAUAUACAGUUUUGGGUGUUUCACUUUUAAUUUUACGAAAGCUUCAAGUGCAGUUAAUUAUUUGUCAUGCUAUACGUGCAAACAGACGAUGGCGUUUGUUAAAGCCAUGCUCUUUUGUUUGCCGUCAAACGGUUGACUACUGCGACGGUAAUAAUGUGAUUAAGGUGUGUACAUGUCUAUACUGCACUUCGAAAAUGUGACUAAAAUAGGAAUAAUCCACGUCUUAAUUCGAUUUCUGUUUACUUUGAAUAUGACUCAAGACUAGUAAGGUUAAGGUAAUCAAAAAUCUGUUUACAUGGUAGAUUCUUAAUCAGAGUAUUGUCUUAAUUGUGUUAAAAUCGGAUUAUUGUUGUCCAUGUAAAUGUACUCACUGUGUUGCUCACACUACGCAGUAAGAUUUCUUCUCAUCUGUUGUCGUCUUGUCAUAGCUGUGCGCAUACUACACAACACAACGCUGAAGAGGUGCACACACUACAAAACAUUCAGUGAAGAGGCGUUCCCGACCAUCAGCGAAAAUAUAUUUUCUCACAUAAAUUCUUGCGAGAAAUUACAGCAAUUAUAGGCCAUUUCUUCAAGUAUAAGGUUUAUACAUUUUAAGAAAAUUUUAAUUAAUUCUUUAGAACUAUUAAUCACCUGGCUGCUGAAGUGCUGUGGCAAUAUUUGUCCACUGCUUUUCCUUUCAGUGCGGUUAUGGUCAUUUUCUGAUGAUACAUCAAAUAAACAGUCAUGUUCUUGUCAAAGGUCUACAGUUUUGCUUUCUAGUUCACGUGUCCAAACACACCGAGGACCACCUACGUUCUUCCUUGAAGACAUUGUAUGUUUAAUUUGAUCGACUUUUCUAUGUUUAUAUCUUCUGCACUGUGAUUGGCUGGAUUAGUUCUACCUUGUCAUUAUGUCGCUCACAUGGCGAUAAUAUCAAACAGGUAUGAAAAUGUCGUAGAGUCUGUGAUAGGUUGAGACAGUUUCGGAUCACGUUGCUGACCUGCUUAUACUUUUUUUUUUUUCUUUAAUGGACAGGACAGUAGAGAAAUUACAGGAAAGCAUUGGGAAGAGAGAGGGGAGUGGGAUCAGCAAAGGCUAUCGGCACCGACAGUACCUGCUCAUACUUACGAGCUUCGACGACCGCAAUGAACACCUAUUUGGUCACGAUCUGGGGGUUUUGUCGCAGACUGUGGAAAUCUGUCCACGACAGCAAAAUCCAGCCAAAAAUCAUGUAGUGUGACCCUGGCUAAAGAUAAUAAUGAGACACAGACUGUGACAUUUGGUACCAUUGAGCAAUAACCGUAUGCCAUGAUUCAUCACAUUCAGGAACUCCAGUUCCCCUGAAAUUGAGAUGUCGAGGACAACUUGCAGUGGAAGUUAAUUUAAUUAUACAUCAGGUGUAAUUUGUGUUGCACAUUUAUUUAUAGUAAGCGAAGUAUAUGUGUAUUUUGCAUUUUAUCAUAUUUAAAAGCACCACAAUAAUAAAUUGUCAUUCAGGGACAAUUUAACAGAAAUUUACAUUUACAUUUAGCAGACACUUUUAUCCAAAGAGACUUACAAAUCAGCUCAACUCAAUUUUAUUUAUAAAGCACUUUCAACACCACAAAGUGGAACCAAAGUGCUGUACACAAAAAUAAAAUGUAAACAAGCAUAAAACCAGAGACAGACACCAAUAAAAAAUAAACAAACCUCGACGAACCAUAAGGUUUAACUGAUCAUCUGACCGCAGAGACCUAUUAGAUUGAUACAGACAAAUUAAAUCAGAAAUGUACUCAGGUGCUGUACCAUGCAAAGCUUUGCGCAAUUUGUACGCAAUGCUGAAAUGUUGGCUAUCAUGAAAAGUGUAUGUAUGGCGGCAAUAGUGGCUUAUUUAAGAAGAAUAGUGUAAGCAGCACUACACGCCCACAAAAAAAACGCGGCGCAACCGGUGUUUAUCAUAGAAAAGGCAACAUAUCAGAUGAAUUCUGUGAGAUGAGGACGGGAGCGCCGGAGUUUGUCAA